AACGCGAAGAACCUUACCUGGGUUUGACAUGCACAGGACGCUGGUAGAGAUAUCAGUUCCCUUGUGGUCUGUGUGCAGGUGGUGCAUGGCUGUCGUCAGCUCGUGUCGUGAGAUGUUGGGUUAAGUCCCGCAACGAGCGCAACCCUUGUCUCAUGUUGCCAGCGGGUAAUGCCGGGGACUCGUAGGAGACUGCCGGGGUCAACUCGGAGGAAGGUGGGGACGACGUCAAGUCAUCAUGCCCCUUACGUCCAGGGCUGCACACAUGCUACAAUGGCCGGUACAACGGGCUGCUAAUCCGCGAGGAGGAGCCAAUCCCCCAAAGCCGGUCUCAGUUCGGAUUGGAGUCUGCAACUCGACUCCAUGAAGUCGGAGUCGCUAGUAAUCCCGGAUCAGCAACGCCGGGGUGAAUACGUUCCCGGGCCUUGUACACACCGCGCAUA
rnacentral:rRNA from 1 species